AAUAAACUGUGGAUUUCUAUGUCCAACAUUUAACCGUCCGUCUUAUUUGAAAAAAUUGUGAAAAAAUUAAAAAGACAACUCACGUAUAAAGUAUUAAUCAUGUUUUAUCAUCUAAUAACAAUGAAAAUACUAAUUAUAAAAAAAUUUCAUAUAAAACGGACAGUAAGAUAUUGGACACGGAAAAAUAGAAUUUGUCUUUUU
rfam:Oryza glumipatula chromosome 2, whole genome shotgun sequence.